CCGUUGGGGCUUGCUCCAUCUGGGAUAGAACCCUUGCUUUUGAGUACCUUUCUGUUUCCUCGGCGGGUUCGCUCGCCGGUGGACAACCUAAACUCUUUGUAAUAGCAGUGUCUUCUGAGAAAAACAAAUAGUCA
rnacentral:misc_RNA from 1 species